rnacentral:rRNA from 1 species
AUCAACUUUCGAUGGUAGGAUAGAGGCCUACCAUGGUGGUAACGGGUAACGGGGUGUUAGGGCACGACACCGGAGAGGGAGCCUGAGAAACGGCUACCACAUCCAAGGAUGGCAGCAGGCGCGCAAAUUACCCAAUCCCGACACGGGGAGGUAGUGACAAUAAAUAACAAUACGGGGUCCUUUCGGGUUUCGUAAUUGGAAUGAGUACAAUUUAAAUCUCUUAACGAGGAACAAUUGGAGGGCAAGUCUGGUGCCAGCAGCCGCGGUAAUUCCAGCUCCAAUAGCGUAUAUUAAAGUUGUUGCAGUUAAAAAGCUCGUAGUUGAAUUUCGGGAUUAGUGCGCCGGUCGUGCCUUCGGUAUGUACUGGUGUUACUGAUUCCUACCUUCUGACGAACCGUCAUGUCAUUAAUUUGGUGUGGCGGGGAAUCAGGACUGUUACUUUGAAAAAAUUAGAGUGUUUAAAGCAGGCUCGCGCUUGAAUACAUUAGCAUGGAAUAAUGAAAUAGGACGUUCGAUCCUAUUUUGUUGGUUUCUAGGAUUGACGUAAUGAUUAAUAGGGAUAGUUGGGGGCAUUAGUAUUCAAUUGUCAGAGGUGAAAUUCUUGGAUUUAUUGAAGACUAACUACUGCGAAAGCAUUUGCCAAGGAUGUUUUCAUUAAUCAAGAACGAAAGUUAGGGGAUCGAAGACGAUCAGAUACCGUCGUAGUCUUAACCAUAAACUAUGCCGACUAGGGAUCGGAUGAUGUUAUUUUUAAUGACUCAUUCGGCGCCUUACGGGAAACCAAAGUGUUUGGGUUC